rnacentral:lncRNA from 1 species
CACAGUUGAACAGUCACACGUCGAGCUUUGUGUCAGUCUAUGCUUCGUUCCCACAGUUAUAGGACUGGCUGGCUGGCGGAAUGACGUAACCUGAAUUCCUAUGGUUGGCACUGGCCGUCUGGAAUUCCUCAUAUGGAAAUGUAUCUCCCCCUCUCCCACAUUUAAUGUGUGUUAAUGUAUUAUCUUUAUGUUCGAUGAUACCGCUUUUCAAAAGCACGUUAAAGUCAGCUGGCGUCGAGACGGAAUCGAAUUGUAUGUCUGUAUCUUUCCAUUGGUCGCAGCCAGAUCUCUGACGCGUUAUUACGCGUGGCUUGCAAGCAGCACAACUUUGCGUAACAGUAGUCUAUGACAUUAUAUUACUGUGGACUAUUAUCAGGUGAAGAGUGUGUAUUUCCUAUGUAAUGGAUAUUACCAUCGGAACGGAUCUGAGUGACAUAGAGAGAAAGAUGGCUCGGAAGAUUCCAGAGAGUCUGUUUCCUUUUGCCACGGAUGGACGGAUGAUGAAAGAUAAUACAGAUGGUAGAGACGGGUGGGACCUGCCUGGCCAUGUACAAGACAUGUCCUACACCGUGAGUCUGCAGAGCAACAUGCGACUCCUAAGACAAGAAAUGUCACACCUGUCCUAAGUCAUGUUUGUCCUGUUCUCUCCUAACAACACAGUCACACCUGUCCUAACUCAUGUUUGUCCUGUUCUCUCCUAACAACAC